UUCGGGUUAAAUCAAUAUUUUGGUUUGACUAGAUUCAUUUAAGAAAAAUAUAUUUCUCCUCUCCGGCGCGACUUCUGGAAAUUAUCUCUUCUCUCCAAAGUCGUCUUUUCUCUGCCUUAUAAAGGUAUCUUUCUUUUUUUUCUUAUACCUCCGUAGUUUAUUAUUUUUAGACUAAUAUGAUAAAAUAAUUAGAUUAUCAAUUAGUCUACGUAUUUAUACAUUAGACCCUAGCCCGUAGCUAUUUUUUCUUCCGUAAAACAGCUUGGCCCUGAUUUUUCAAAUAGCCAUAACUUUUUACCCGUGUGCCCAAAUCCAAUGAAACCAACGCUCACUUCUUCGUUAUGAUCUCCUCUAUCCAGUAAUCCAACUCAAACAUGUUUUUGAAAAUUUUAAAAUUUGAAUUAGAUCAGAUUUGAAUUCAAACUUCUUUUGAUCAUAUCUUUUUAUCUGUAACUCUGUUUGAGUUGAUUCUUUUUGCAAAUCGAAGCUCUUGACCUAAAUUUUCUGAUAAUGCCAAAUUCACAUAAGUUUGGUACUGUUAGAAAUUGUUUUAUGUUGCAAGAGCUAUUUGCUUGGUUUUGAUGUUUUCCGAAUCGACUUCUUCGAUCUUUCUGGUCUUUUGAGUGAUUGCUUAUGUGUGUUUACUAUUGCUUGAUUACGAUAGAUUGACCGGAGUGUGACGAGUAGAGCUAUCAAGAUUUUUGAGUGCGAAUCAUCUUCAUCAACAUUGCAGGCAAGGUCACACUUUGAUCAUACCUCUUACUACCCAGUUUUAUUUGCAUUAGAUCAAACCUCAAACAUUGCAUGAUUAGGAUCUAAUUAAAUUGUGAGAUGGGAAGUAGUUGAGGUAGCACCUAUUACUUGUUUAUUAUCAAACACUUGGGAGUUACUUAUCCGAAUUCCUUAUAUUGCUAUGCUAUGCUUGUAGACGUGGUUGGGGUGAGUGAAAUCCAUGACAGAUGUGAGACUGUUAAUUAAUGGUUCAACUUAAGGUGGCAACUUAAAUACACAUUUGGGUGGAUUGAGGCACCUGGUUAUUCUAGGAUUGCCUGCCUAGGCACCUGGGUAAUCCAGGACUUGCCUGUUUUCUUUUGGACCGCCACCCAAGCUCAAAGGGAUCAUGAGACUACUCAUACUAGAAACUUCCAUGUGCAGCCACAAGCUAUUAUGGGCUCUAGCAUAGUUGACUAAGUUGUGCGAACUCUUACAGUGGUAGACUAGCAGAUGUACGGGAUGUAGGUGGUACGGUCUACCCGAUCGUAAGGUGCUAGUCCUUCUGAAAGACUAUGUCUCGGUCAUCCGUCUUCUCAAACACCAUGUAGUGUGAGAAACCAAACGGAGGCGAUCGAGUCUUGUGGGGAAAAGUGCACAAACCUCUACAGAGUGUAUAAACUAAUCAUGAUUAGCCGUGUCCCCGGUUAUGGACAAUUUGAGUAUCUAGUACUUGGAUUAUCAUGUGAAUCUCAUCAUGUUACUUUAAAUUAAUUUUGUUGGGUUUAAUGAUGUUACUUAAUUUGGAUUGAGAAUGCUGUCAAGCAUUCUCAAUGUUCAACAACCACCAUGAUAGUUAAAUAAAUUAUAUUCCUUUGUAGUAGGGAAAAAUUGGCUUUUCGCAAAAACUAUAACCAUAGAGCUUUUCCACCAGCCAAAUAUGCAUGUAGUGAUAGCCUUUGUUCAUCAUUCUCUAUGGUGUGAAUCUGCCAGUACAUUCAAUGUACUGACCCAUUUCGGGCUGCAACGUCUCAUGUUGCAGGUUUCUUACGAUGAGUAAGUGAUACGUUAGGGCUACGAUUUCUACACUCAACUUUGCCGUUGGUGUUGAUGGGAAUCCACAACCUUGUUACUUCCGCUAUUUUUUUGGAUUGAGGUAAUAGUAUUUACUUUACUUUAUACAUGUGAUUUACCUUUGUUAUAAAUCCUUCGAGUACUGUGUGUGUCAGCAUACCGAUCCAGGGAUGACACUUAAGCACAGAGACUUGAUCCAUUCGGAUCAGGUCGCUACAAGAUGGUAUCAGAGCACAUGUUGACUGUAGGAACGUGACCCUUGAAACUGGCAAGUCCAUAGCAAAGAUUUUUCUCUACAACUUUCCCUUUCAAAAGAUCUUUUACCUCUCUUCUCUUCUGAGCUUGUUCAAAAAUUCCCUUUAGUGAGACCAUACCCCUUUCCCCUUUUGACCACUCGAAGAUUCGACUGAUGAGACCACUCCAAGAAGUACAAGAUAUCGGACAGCUAAGACCACUUCGGAAUGAAGAGUAUUUUCCAUGCCUCUGAAUAAUGGAAACUACAACGGUUGAAGACCGAAGACAAGUAGAAUUUGAAGGCUCUGAAGAAUUCCCAAAUUUGUAUGACCUAGGAAGGCUACCCUUAUGGAACUUGGCAGACUAUGGAAACUGUCAAUACCCGAGAUCAAGGUGUGUUGGAGAAAGACUGGAACAUGGAGCAUAGGACUCAAAGUUUUGUCAAGAAACCCUAAGGCAGGAGAUAUCAACUGUGGAGAGAUAGCUCAUGGGAAUGACAAGAGCAGGAACACGGUUAUUCGUGAUGUCAUCACCCGCUGAUGCUAUUGUCACCGUGCUAAGUUAAGGAUGCAUUUCUUCAGAAUGGAUUUGAUGGAAGAAGGCUGAUGGAGCACCUAAUAGUAAGAUGAAGUUUUAACCUUAGCCGGUGUAUCGCCAGGAUCGGGAGUAGUACAUCAAGAAGUUUAAGGAGGAGCUCCAUGAAGCCGUAUUAGACAAGGAAGCAUUUCGUGAAGAACUCAGGAACCAAAAGCUGAAAGUAGCCAAGCUAGAGGAGCUACAACCUCGAGAUACCGGAGAUUUAUCAGGAACUGAAGGACCGUAUGACCAUGGCUCAUGCCAAGGAUGUUGAAACCUAGAAGUUUGGAAUACAAUUCUAGAAUAUUCAAGGAGGUCACGAGAGACUUCGCGUCAAUAGAGAUGCUCUGACAAAAGAACUGGAAAAAGGACAAGCAUGAUUGGAAGAAGCCAUUGGAGGCAUGAACAAGGCUUGAAGAGUUUGGAGACAUUGAAGAUUUAUUGACCUUUAGAAGACCAAACCCCUGUUAUAUACCUACGUUAGAUGCGACGUUUCUGAGCUGUCAUUUGCUUGAUGUUUUUCCCGAUGGCCACAAAUAAAAUCUGUCUUUUCAAAACUUUUGUUUGUAUUGUGUGUAUCCCUCUCUAUCUCUCUUAUCUUACCCCAAACCCAUGGACCCAAUAGAGGAUGAAUGAAGAUGAGCUUAUAUUUUCUGGACCGAUAAGUAAAUUGGAGACGGACCGAUGGAUUCAGAACAUGGAGGAUCACAUGAAGAAUAACCCUAUAGUCGGAAAGGAUAUGACCCAGCAUGCUCUUCAGUGCUUUGAAAGAGGUGCUGCUACUUGGUGGAGGAUAUACCAAACCAUGAAUGGAUGACAAGGAGUAACCACUUGGAGAGAAUUAAAGUUGACUCUGCAAAGAUCUCACCUUGUGUCCCAGAAGUUGAAGUCUUAUGGAAAGGAUAUAAGGAAACCUUGUGCAUGCAAGAUUUGUGGAGAAAUAGGAUACACCCAUAAAGAACACAAGGAUGAAUGCCCUAACUGUGAAGGAAGUCACCCAAUUGAAGAAUGCCCAACUAGGAAGAUUACUUGUUUCUUGUGUGAAGGGACUACCCACUAUCCUGCUCAGUGUCACAUUUACCCCAUGGUACAACGAACCAUCCAGCAGAAGAAAGAAGUAAUGAAAGGAGCCCUCAUGGAAAUUUUAGAAGAACCCGUGAUGAAGGAAGAUGUGGAAGACACACCUAAAAAGGACCCGAGUAAACCCUGCACUAAGUCUUGCUAUUCAUGUGGAGAAGAAGGACACAUCUCCCAAAAUUGUUUGAAUGGGGAUCUAAUAGAAUUCCCGACAUAGGAAGUAGAAUAUGACCCACAGGAAAUAGAAGCCCUGAUUGGAAUGGAAAAGUCCAGGAAGAGAAACCGAUUGGAGCCCAGGAGGAACCUGAGUCAUAUCAUCUGUUACAGGUGGAAGGAGUCAGGGCACUACCUCAACAAUUGCCCAAAAAGGAAACCUCGAUACUUGUCAGAAGUAAUAUGUUUUAGUUGUAAUGGAGCAGGGCACUUUGCCAGAGAAUGCCCCAAGGAGAAGGAAACUUGUGCUAGAUAGUUGAGUUUGCAACAAAAGAAAUGGAGUAGUAGAAGUGAGAACAUUUUAUUUUCUAUUGAGGUGUUGAGUUGAGACAUGUAAUGGAAAAGCGAGAGAUUGUAAUCAUUGGAGAAUGAAUAAAGUUAGCAUCGUUGGUACUGAUAUGGAUUUUAUGAGUUGUUACUCUAUGAAGAAGAAUUUUGGCCAUUUUGAGGAUAUGAGAAAUAUGGUCUAUGGAAGAUUUGUGCAUUUUAAGGGUGGUAGUACCCUGUAAGAACCCUUGACCACUGGAAAAGAUAAGGAUACUCCACUGAGUGGAUUUCGGACAAAAUGAAUAUGAGUUUUGUCUCGAUAUGUGUGAUACCCUAAGAGUAUGUGGGAUGAAGUUGGAGACCGUCAGUUGUUUGGACGAAAUGAGAUCAAGGAGUCAGAAGAGAAUGCUAAGUGGAUUCAAGAUAGACUGAAGGUAGCUCAGUCCAAGCAGAAGAGUUAUGUAGACUCAAAAACUCAAGGAGGUAGUCUAUGAAAUUGGAGACAGAGCAUGUCUUCGCAUGUCCCCUACGCGAGGAGUUAAACGGAUUGGAGUUAAGGGACAGUUAGCCCCGAGAUUUGUAGGACCAUACCGAGUUUUGGAGCGUAUGGGAGAAGUGGCCAACAAGUUGGAGUCACCCGAAGGACUGUCAGGAGUUCAUGAUGUGUUUCACAUUUCCCAGUUUAAGAAGUGCCAUGCAGAGAUGGCCAGUACUCCCCUGUAAGGACGCUUGACCCUGGAAAGGAUAAUGAUGUUCCUCGAAGUGGAAUAUGGACUUCAUAAGUGUAAGUUUUAUCUUGGUAUGAGGGAUAUCCCACGAGGAUGAAUAGAUAAAUUACUAUUGGAUAUAAAGGGGGUAUGAUGUUGGAAAUAUGGAUCAAUGAAAAUCCCAUGAUGAGUCUGAGUAAUCAUGUCCUAGUUUUGGUGCCAAUAGAAGGAAGGAAGACAAUACAAUUGGAUGGAUUUAAGAAUACUAGGAAGUUGGAAGUUGGAAUAAUGAUAAGUUGCCCGAUGAUAAGUUCAAGGACUACAGGUGAUGAGGUGGGCCAUAACCCAUAGGCCCAGGACCUGCCAAGAAGCAAGCACAUUCUUGCUGAAGGAAAAACCCUGGAAGAAGUUACGAUUUUAACGACAGACGAUCUUACAGGAGUUACGCAAAACCUGCGAGUUGUGAAGGAACAAUAGAUGGUUGUUUGGCUUGCAGAAUCUAUGGAUUUAUCCGAACUUGGUUCGUCGACAAGAGAAAUUCUGCAAUGCUUGUUAGGAUGACUGAGUGUUAGAAUGCGAGAUUCGCUAAACCAUAUACAAGGUAAUGAUUUGGGUGCGGGAUGGAUUGAUCACCAUAACAACUUACUCUUAUUGUUUGCCUUGCUAUAUGGAAUGGUAAAUCUGAGUGACUUACCUAUAGUAGAGAGACGACGAUGAAAACCUUGUUUAAACCUUAGAAUGGUAUAGCAAUUUUUUUCCUUGUACAAGGCAGCUUUUGCCGACCGUAGGUUAUACGGUGAGGAUCAACCCAGACCCAUUUCCUGCAGGAGAAACCAUAAAUUGUUGACCACCAUGAGAUAUCGAUAGUUGUUUAGUUUUGGCGCCCGACCCGUCAGCUAAGAAGACCCAAUCUCGGAAUAACCUUACCAAGAGGAAAGGACAGAAGAAUUGAGGAAAAGGUUAUGCCACUACCGGAAGAGCCAGAGAAGGAAUUAUCUCGAGAAUCUGAGAAGACCGACACUGUUAACAAUAUGGAUGAAGUAUAUGAGUUUCGAUGGAGCUGUAACCAUGCUUCUAAGGGUGGUAGCACCCCAGACCCCUGUGAUGAUUGAUGGAUUUUGAGAAGACCCCGAACCUAACCUAUUUGUUUCUAGCCUCUCCGAAUCUCGAGGACGAGAUUCAUUUUAAGGGUGGUAGGUUUGUAACAUCCCAAAAUUCUAAACUUUGGAAUGUUAUAAUAAAUAGAUAGAUUGAUUGAUUGAUUGUUUGAUUGAUUGUCUGAAAGUGAGUGAAUUCAAAACUUUUGAAAGUUAAAUGAGAGGGAAUAAAAGGACUUUCCCAAACUUUCAUAUUUGCUUUCUGAUCUCCAUGAAUUCAAAUUCUUUUCAACACAGAACCCUAGAGAGAAGAUGACAUGACUUCUUCCAUUUAAAAUGAAAAGGGUGUUUGAAAAAUAUUUGAAUUCCAUUGGGAAAUAUAUUCCAAUUCAGAAACUUUAUGCAACUCAAUGAUUUUCACGAGAGAAGAUAAAAUGACUUCUUCAAAUUAUGAAAUAUGAGUUGGGAGUUUCAAAGGAUCAAUUUCAAGUCCCUUUGGAAUUAAUUUCCAAUUUGGAUUUAUUUGAGUUUUAUUCAAAUUAUUUUUCUCCAAAAAUAAAAUAUAUGGAAAUUAGGGUAACAUGAUUCCCUACAACAAAAAAUUGGACAGAAAUAAAUUUGAUUUCAUUUUGGUAUUUCUAAAAUGAUUUUUAUUGGAUUUUAUUAGAACAGUGGCACUCUUUGAAUUAUUAGAAUUUGUAUGUAUUUUAUUUAAUACUAGAAAAAUGUUCAUGUCGUAGAAAAUCUUUUUCUGAAAAUUUUGAUAUAUAAUAUGCCUAUAUAAAGUUUUAUUUUAUUUUCGUUUUUCAGUUUAUCACAUUCUGUAAAAAAAACUGCACCGCGCGGCCGGCCAAAGGCAAAAAAAAAACUGCACCGCGCGCCCGGCCGAAGGCCUUUAGGCCCAUCGCCUCUUUUCUUCUCUGUUUCGUAUGUUUUCGUCUAUGCUUAGUCCCACAUUGCCUAGCCUUUGACCCCUAAGCCUCUUUUCCACCAAUAAAUAUAGACCCAUAGAGCCUCCAAAAAUCAUCCGAUUCGGGUUAAAUCAAUAUUUUGGUUUGACUAGAUUCAUUUAAGAAAAAUAUAUUUCUCCUCUCCGGCGCGACUUCUGGAAAUUAUCUCCUCUCCAAAGUCGUCUUUUCUCUGCCUUAUAAAGGUAUCUUUUUUUUCUUCUUCUUAUACCUCCGUAGUUUAUUAUUUUUAGACUAAUAUGAUAAAAUAAUUAGAUUAUCAAUUAGUCUACGUAUUUAUACAUUAGACCCUAGCCCGUAGCUAUUUUUUCUUCCAUAAAACAGCUUGGCCCUGAUUUUUCAAAUAGCCAUAACUUUUUACUCGUUUGCCCAAAUCCAACGAAACCAAUGCCCACUUCUUCGUUAUGAUCUCCUCUAUCCAGUAAUCCAACUCAAACAUGUUUUUGAAAAUUUUAAAAUUUGAAUUAGAUCAGAUUUGAAUUCAAACUUCUUUUGAUCAUAUCUUUUUAUCCGUAACUCUAUUUGAGUUGAUUCUUUUUGCAAAUUGAAGCUCUUGACCUAAAUUUUUUGAUAAGGCCAAAUUCACAUAAUUUUGGUACUGUUAGAAAUUGUUUUAUGUUGCAGAGCUAUUUGCUUGGUUUUGAUGUUUUCCGAAUCGACUUCUUCGAUCUUUCUGGUCUUUUGAGUGAUUGCUUAUGUGUGGUUACUAUUGCUUGAUUACGAUAGAUUGACCGGAGUGUGACGAGUAGAGCUAUCAAGAUUUUUGAGUGCGAAUCAUCUUCAUCAACAUUGCAGGCAAGUUCACACUUUGAUCAUACCUCUUACUACCCAGUUUUAUUUGCAUUAGAUCAAACCUCAA
rnacentral:lncRNA from 1 species